rnacentral:rRNA from 1 species
GACGAACGCUGGCGGCGUGCCUAAUACAUGCAAGUCGAGCGGACUUUCAAGAAGCUUGCUUUUUGAAAGUUAGCGGCGGACGGGUGAGUAAUACGUGGGCAACCUGCCUGCAAGACGGGGAUAACUCCGGGAAACCGGGGCUAAUACCGGAUAAUAUCUUCCUUCGCAUGAAGGAAGGUUGAAAGGCGGCGCAAGCUGCCGCUUGCAGAUGGGCCCGCGGCGCAUUAGCUAGUUGGUGAGGUAACGGCUCACCAAGGCGACGAUGCGUAGCCGACCUGAGAGGGUGAUCGGCCACACUGGGACUGAGACACGGCCCAGACUCCUACGGGAGGCAGCAGUAGGGAAUCUUCCGCAAUGGACGAAAGUCUGACGGAGCAACGCCGCGUGAGCGAAGAAGGUCUUCGGAUCGUAAAGCUCUGUUGUCAGGGAAGAACAAGUACCGUUCGAACAGGGCGGUACCUUGACGGUACCUGACCAGAAAGCCACGGCUAACUACGUG